UUCCAGACUCCUACGGGAGGCAGCAGUGGGGAAUAUUGGGCAAUGGGCGAAAGCCUGACCCAGCAAUGCCGCGUGAAUGAAGAAGGUCUUAGGAUUGUAAAAUUCUGUCCUAUGGGAAGAAACAAAUGACGGUACCAUAGGAGGAAGCCCCGGCUAACUACGUGCCAGCAGCCGCGGUAAUACGUAGGGGGCGAGCGUUGUCCGGAAUUACUGGGUGUAAAGGGAGCGUAGGCGGGGAUGCAAGUUGGGUGUCAAAACUACCGGCUCAACUGGUAGUCGCACUCAAAACUGCAGCUCUUGAGUGAAGUAGAGGCAGGCGGAAUUCCUAGUGUAGCGGUGAAAUGCGUAGAUAUUAGGAGGAACACCAGUGGCGAAGGCGGCCUGCUGGGCUUUUACUGACGCUGAGGCUCGAAAGUGUGGGGAGCAAACAGGAUUAGAUACCCGCGUAUG
rnacentral:rRNA from 1 species